rnacentral:pre_miRNA from 1 species
AAUAGAUGACGCCGUUGACUUUUUCUCACAUGUUUAACCAUUCGUCUUAUUCAAAAAAAAAAUAUGUAAUUAUAAUUAUUUUAUUAUGAGUUCUUUUAUCAUUUAUAGUACUUUAAGUGUGAUUUAUAUCUUAUACAUUUGUAUAAAAUUUUUGAAUAAGACGAAUGGUCAAACAUGUGAGAAAAAGUCAACAGCGUCAUCUAUU